AUAAAUAAAUAGGCCCACGUGCUCUGUCGGUAGUCGGGCUCUGCGUUACACAAGGCACUUCUGCGAGCGCAGGGCGCUGGGUGGUCCCUGCGUCAUUCGGCUGGAGAAAGUAAUUUGCAGGGAUAGAUCCGGAUCCGCUUCGUCUCAGUGGAGAUUAAACCCCCUUAAUUAACUCCUCAAGGGAUAUUGGAGAGGGCCUGCAGGGCUUUGUGGUAGCCAGCAGCCACCCACCAUUUGCAGAUUGGCACAGGCUCUCUGGCGUGCCCUGCUCCGUGGCUGUGCGUUGGCUGGGUGGGCCAACACAAGAACCUGGCAUCACUGAAGUUUCCUUUGAGUAAUGCUCCAAUGUCCUUAAAAAUGGCAAGUGAAGAGCAUUCAAGAGUUCUUUGUGCCACUACAGAGAGUUUUGGAAAUCAAACUUGUUGUUGGAGAAGACAGAGGGAUGUGGAGGCAUGCUUAACAUUGGCAUUAGUGGAAAUAUAGUUCAGAAGAAUCCACUUCGUCUCCCCCAGGCUCCUAACACAGCAUAAAAAAGCGCUUUAGAUCAUAGAAGAAGCAGCUAGAAGACUCAACUACAGGAAGAGCACCAGCUUUCUUCAAGGUCACUGCAAUAACAGGCUAUUAGUUGAAUUAUACACUGGAAUAAUAGUUCAAGAAAAGGAGAUAAAGGCAGCAAAUAACUUAAAAAUGAUAAGAAAAGCUACUCCUAUGCCCCCUCAAAACCUCAAAGUGUGAGAAAAUGAGGUGGCUGGUAAUGAAGUGAUUUGUAAGUGACCCUUCUUUCCCUGCCUCCCCUUUAGAAAGUAAUGAGGGAGCGGUUGUUAAAAGUAAAAUAAACCAGAGCGUGCUGGGAUUAAAUCUGCUCUCUGGAAGCAUUGGUGAGGUCUGGGGAGGAUGUUUUACUUUAGGGUAUUGAGGCUGAAUAGCCUGAACCUGCAGAGCGUGUCCCUGCUCCAUGGCGAGGGCUGUGGCAGACCACACCACGCAGAGCUGGACUGGGCUGCCGAGGGGCUCCCCACUCCCAGGAAUUUUAAUUUCACCGUACCCAGGUCUCACAGCCAUGUUUUAGCCCUGUGUUAUGCUCAGGUCUGCAGCACAGGGGUAGAUCUGUGCUGGCUCUGACACUGGAAACCCACACGGAUGCUGUUGCUCUCACCUGGACAGUUCUAGGAACGGACUAUAAAGAAAUCAUGCACGCUGUAAAAUGCUGGCUGAUGGCUCUGCACUGAUAAAUAAGCAUUAACAUACACAGCACUAAUAGGCAGAGGGUGUGCUUGGCAUUAAUCAAAUGAACUAAUGCUCUGCA